ACACGAUUUCGGCUGUUGAAUGGAUUAUCCCACUAAUCUUAAAAAUUUAUCAAGAUUUCGCCAUACAAAAAUGACAGUUCCAAAUCACUUCAUUGAAAUGAUUUGAAACUGAUCCACGCUAAAUCUCUCUGUGCGACUCUGAUUUUGCGCAAUCUACUUGUCAGCACUGGAAAUCUGUUACAUUAUCACAGCUGAUUUAAACAAUACAAAGGGAAAAAAUGUAAACAAAUAAUAUUUUUUUAAAGCAAUGAAUCUAAUUUCACCUGAAAAUCGACUUAACAAAUGAAAAAAUGCAUCUAUUAUUUCUAUUAUAUGAAAAAUAUUAAAAGAAAUACGGCUUUUAUUUCAAAAUACUAUAUGACAAUCUUUUCUUUUGAUAAAUAUUAAGCGAUGUGAAUUCUUGAAUGACAAUAACAGCUGUUUUUUGAUCUUUCUAACGGCAGUGAGAACAGAACAGAAAAUGUGUGCUCAAGAAGGUGAUAAAAAAUCACAUGUCUACAGAAGUUUUGGGAAGUUUUUUGAUUCGCCCUUAAGAACGUGAUAGGAAAGUGUGACAAUUAAACCAGCACGCGUUACCGGCAUGUCACUAGGUAACAUGACCGGCACUGUUCUAACUGGGGUAGGCAAGCAAAGAAGAAUUUUGCGAUCAGCUGACGCUAGAAUAACCAACACAAGCAUAACGUCCACACAGUCACGUUGGACAACACUGGACUGAUAAAAAAUCACAUGUAUACAGAAGUUUUGGGAGGUUUUUUGAUUCGCCCUUAAGAACGUGAUAGGAAAGUGUGACAAUUAAACCGGCACGCGUUACCGGCAUGUCACUAGGUAACAUGACCGGCACUGUUCUAACUGGGGUAGGCAAGCAAAGAAGAAUUUUGCGAUCAGCUGACGCUAGAAUAACCAACACAAGCAUAACGUCCACACAGUCACGUUGGACAACACUGGACUGAUAAAAAAUCACAUGCAUACAGAAGUUUUGGGAGGUUUUUUGAUUCGCCCUUAAGAACGUGAUAGGAAAGUGUGACAAUUAAACCGGCACGCGUUACUGGCAUGUCACUAGGUAACAUGACCGGCACUGUUCUAACUGGGGUAGGCAAGCAAAGAAGAAUUUUGCGAUCAGCUGACGCUAGAAUAACCAACACAAGUAUAACGUGCACACAGUCACACUGGACAACACUGGUCUAACCUGACUAAUUGAACAGACAUGAUUAGACAUAUCAUAUAUUACAUAAAGUCUGUAAAAGUAAAAAUUAUCGUCUAAAAAUUUUAGUUGGAAAUCAAAAAUUCAUAUUUCUGUGCAUUAACAUAUCUUAUGUUAAAAAUUAGUUUAUUUAUUAAAAUUCCAUCAGUGAAAUUUUAUAUCGGCAGAUAAUGAGAACAAUAAAUUAAUAGCACUAGUUAUAGGCACAUAAAUUAAAAAAGGAGUAUUAUCUAUUUUCCACUUUAUCGUUGCCACCUUCUAGCUCACUUUUGAAUUUGGAGUAUCAGUUUUAUCACAUCAUGGAGAUAAGAUUAGUGACGUGAAACCCGAAAAGAUAUUAAGCAUAUGUUGAGUGGAGUACAAUGAGUAUGCUUAAGUCUAAAAUGAUGCUAACUAUCAAAUUUAAGAAGUUCUAACGAAAUAACUCAUAUUUGAUUGUUAAAUUAUAAGAAAGCUAUGAUAACAUACAACAUCUUGAUGUAGUAUUAGAAAAAUAUUUGCUGUACUUUCGGGUUUCAAAAAUAUUUUAUGAAAAUCCCGGAAUUUUUGGAACACUUCUUAAAAAGCUCCAAAGGUUUAGGGAAUGAGAAGGAAUUCAUAAAACAUUUUGUGAGAAUCUCGAAGUUUUCGGGAAUGGAGCAAGGCUUUUUUGCGUGUUACCUGAGUAAUAUUAUUCACAUUUUACGAAAAUAGCGAAGUUUCGGGAUUGAAAAAAUUUGUUUACAUAUACUAUUUUAAACUUUUUAUGAAAAUCCCGAAUCGGGAUCGGAAAAUCUUGUUCACUUAUACACAUACCCCAUAUUGUGUGCAUGUACCUUCAAAUCUGCACAUGUGCACAAUCACUACUCGCGCACACUGCUCUUCUACAACCGCCACCUGCUAGCCAAGAAAAUGAGAUUUGAGCAGCGAUAGAAGAGAAACCGACCAACUGCGCCUCCAUAACAACAUAAGUAGAAGAAAGCAACGUAUUAGUUGAGUGGAAAACGUGAGCGUGUUUGGAACGUGUCAGUCUAACUAGUGGCUAACUAAGCAUUGCAUAAAAGUUCUAAAUUUAUAGAAAAUUAUUUGGUGAUUUUUCUGUCGGCAAAAUUGGCCGUGAAUUAACGUACAAAAAAAUAAUAAGUAAUUACUGUGAAUACGUAUAGGAUAAUUGAAAGCCGUUUGUAGAAAACUCGCACGACAAAAAAGGUGAGUUUGUACUUUUGCUUUUUUAAUUAACUUAAUGAGUUCGGGUUCAUUAAAAGCAGCGAAUUUGUACAUAAAAAGUGGGUAUUUUAUGGCGACAACGCUGCUUCAACAACAAGUGCCGCUUUCUGCACAAGCUUCCAAUACCUUUGAACCAAUUGCCAAUGCAAGCAGUGUACGCUGUUGUUUCUUGUGUUUCGUUGUGGCACGCCUUUUUCUGCAAUAUCAGAUGUUGUACCGUUAGAUGAUGCCUUUUCGGCAGGCAGACGCGCAAUCAAUAAAAUAUGCGACAUUGCCAAUGGCACUGUUUGCUGCGCUCGUGUUAAUGCCUCCAACAGCAACACCAACGACAUUUACAACUACAACUGCAAAUUUAACACUCAAUAUGGUGUUAGGCCGCAUAUGGUGCACAUUCUUCGAACGGUUGACCCCAAAAGCGGUAAGACGAGCUUGUGACUUGAAGUCGUCCAAACGCAUUUUCCUUGGCAGGAGCGCACUCCACCUCUUUUGUGUGUCUAUGCGCCAUACAAACGCAGUGCCACCCUUUUGCACGCAACGCAAACACUUUGUGUGUGUGUGUGCAUGGGUUUCAUAUUGUAUGUGCUUCAUGUGGCAGCAGUAAGCUUGUUGUUGCUGAAUCUCGCCGCAAGACGCCAGUAUCGAUUUAACAAGCAUCAGUGGGAAAAGUGAAGGCUGGUUAACACUUAUUUUACUAGAACGCGAGACACUUGAGAGUAUAUAGUAUUAAUACUAAAAAUAGAAGGUAUGUGAGUUCAAGCGCAUAUCUGGUAUAAUUAAAUUCAAGGGGGAUGGGUGAACUAUUUUAAAUAUGUGUAUACAAUUUAGAUGCGUGUAAGUACACGCAUGUGAAAACUCAGUGGUGCAGAAUCGGUUGCAAUUGAUUUUUCACUCAGCCAAAUUCAUUUGGCAUUCUCUUAGAAAGCUCAAAGUUUAAAGCUGCCAAAGGAGAUGGAAAAAACAAAAUUUUAAAUAUAUGUAUAUAUGAAAUAAAAAUUGUAUUGCUGACAUUAGGGGAAUAUAACAGCAAAAAUAAUGUAGUUGUACAAUACAUAAAACAUAAGAUCUUAUCAUAUCAAAAAAAAAAUAAUAAUUUACUUCGAAGAUUGCUUUUGGUUUUAGCUUUUUUUAAUACAUUAUAAAUUAAAUAAAAUUCAUAUAAAAAAAGUGAAAUUUGAAUUAUGUUCGGAUUUUACCGACUAAUCUAACGCCGAUUAACUGUAUUAACUCGGAUUAUUGCAGGAGUUAGUGAAGAUAACUUUGUUGCUAACUCCUAUUUAACCCUCAAAAUUUCAGAGAGUAGGGAGCUGCAUUUUCGUUGACAACAUUGUUAAAAAUGUCCAAUUUUAAUAUAUUGUGAAUGAAAAACUAGCAACACUGAUAGCUGUUUUUAAAAUUUUCAAUAAUAGAACAAGAAAUUUUAUGUUAUGACGCAGUUUUAAAAAUUACGUGUUGAUAUGUUUUUGUAAUAAGAAAUAUUUUUGUAAAAAUUGAUUGGCUAACAACCGCAAUGUUUAUCUUCUAUCAAUUUUCAUUGAAAAUAUUAUAAAAAUGACAAUCAGCUGUUUACGAGAGUUUCAAACUUGCAUAGCUGCCGUCUGUCACACAAAAAUUUGGAUCAUACUUAAUCCGGAUUAACGUAGCCAUCCGACAAGACUAUAAGUGAUAUAUACAUAUCCUGUGCGAUAUGUAUCAUUUGAACUAAUGAGGGUCCUUGUGAAAAAUUUCAAACUUUUAGAGUUAUCGUAGCAUCAAAACAUUUUUGGUCAAUCUGCAGACUUUCUUCACCAGUUGUAUCAACUUUGGUUUAAAUCAGCCGUAUGAUACUAAUUUUGAUAUUUGACUUUGGUAUUUAAAAUUUUUCUGGAUUGAUAUACAAAUUAACAGUUAACAGAUGGAAAAAACCUUUGACUUUACAAUAAAAGCUCAUGUAGCUACGAGAUUGCAACAUGUCAUAAACGUCUUAAACGAAGCGAACUGUCAAACUCUCUUAGUAACUAUGAGUAAAGGUUUCCUGUAGUGAAAUUAGAACUUAACUGAUCUAACCGCAAUCAGUCUAUUUGGAAUUUCAGCUAAUUUGUACGUAUCUAAUUUAGGGAUAAGUUGAAAGACCUUAUUUGAAGUAUUGUAAAUUUCAGCAAACAUCUAAAUAAAUGCAUUUUUCUUUAUAUUAUUCACAUUUCGUGAGCAUUUUGUGUCGCCCGCAAUUAAGUGUUCUUUUUUGUUUUGUAAAGGAUUUCUUAUAAUAAAAUGGAAAACAAAAAUUUACGAAAAAUUUGGGAAACAUCUAUAAAUUGUGCUAUAAAUACUUAAAAAUGCCAUAUGAAUUAAAAACUAAACUUUUUAGAGGUGAUUUUAUUUUAUUUAUCUAUGUACUCAUGUACACAUGGAUAUAAGUUUUAGUUUUAUCUGCUUCUAAAGCUUUAUUUAAAUACUUUUGUGAACAAUUUGUUCAUUUAAAUAUAAAAUGUCAAAACGUACAACAAACCGCUUUGCGAAAUAUAUGUAAACUUGCGUUCAUAAAUUUAUAGAUGUUUAUAAAACACAUAAAAUUGUUUGCAUUUCUUUUUGCAUUUUUUCUAACAUAGUAUUCUAGUAGUAUAUACAAACACCAUGAAAUAAAAAGCCGGUGAAAAUACUCGUACUUUCAUGUGGUAACCGGCUGCAAAAGUGUAUUCGCUUUUCUGACAUUUGUUCUAUUUUCGUAUUUGUUGAUAAAUUUGAAUCGAACGACAGUGAAUGCUAAAACUUGUUAUACACAUUUAUAUAUUGAGAGAUUUUCAGAAAUUAGUAGCAUGCCUGAUGCUUUUGAUUUUGUUAUUUUAUUAUGUUAAGUGGGAUGUGAAACUGAAAAAAAAAAAUUUGGAAUCUUUAUUUUUUUUAGGUCCCGUUCUUAUUUUACGCAUGUCAAGUUACUAGGCCGCCCUGACAAAAUUUUAGAAAGUUAUCGUUAACGUACAAUAAGUUAUCUGGAUAUAAUGUGAUAUAAAUAAAUUUUUGAUGUUUUUGGCAAUUUUGUUAUUUACUUAAAAGUUGUAUUUUAUCACUCGAACUAUUUUUCUAUUAAGGCGUACACCUAGUAGAAGCGCCUGAGAACUCUUUUGAAUAAACUACUGCAUUAAAUGUAUCAAAACAUUGAGGAUGGUGACCUUUUCCAUGUUAAAAAAAAGAUUAUUACUCUGUAAGUUAUUGCCAAUACAACGAUUCACGAAAAAGAUAUGAAGCUUAAUAAAAUUGCUGAAGAAAUUGUAAAAUUUUGCUCAAAACUAAGGUGAUCCUUUGACCGACAAAAUGUCAAUUUUUAUAUAGUCGAAAAUCUGAAGCGUCAUGGUACGCAUAAAAAAAGCAGAAGAUAAAUCAAAGUGAUCGAAUGAUAUAUUUUUUUUUCUUCGAGAUACAACUACAGUCAAUUUGAAAAUUUUAGUUUUGAAAAUAAAGCGUUUAAAGAUAAAAUUUUUGACUAGAUUAUUGGUGGCUACUCUUUAGAGAGAUGUAACUGAAAAUUUUUUUGAAAUAUUCAUAUAUAUUUUCAUAAAUUUGUAAAGUACAUACUUUUAUGCUAAAAAAAUAAAAUUCAUACAAAGUGUGCCCUUAAGUCAUUGGUUUUAAGUACUUAUGAAGUCCACAAACUUCUAAAGUGCUAUACAACAUACGUUCAAUAUACAUACGAGGGCUGCGAUAUAUAUUUCUGGCCUAAUAAUGAAAAAAGGCAUAUUUAUCAACGAAAAUGUUUUUUUUUUUUCGUUGGAUUUGGCUCGUCUUGGAAGACCCACCCGGUCGAUUGCUGUUUUGUUUCGGGCUCAUACGCAUAGAUCCAUGAUUCGUCACCUGUGACGAUCUUAUAAACGUCUUUUGAAGCACCGCGAUCGUAUUUUUUCAGCAUUUCUUUACACCAAUCCACACGAGCCUUUUUUUGAGCGAUUGUCAAAUUGUGCGGGAUCCAACGAGAACAAAACUUUUCUACGGCCAGGUGUACAUGCAAUAUCGAAUGUAUGCUGGUGGGAGAAAUGCAUAGGCAUGCCUCUAUCUGAAGGUACAUAUGUUACAUGACGGUCUUGUAUUAUCAGUUCACGUACGGCAUCGAUGUUUUCUGGCACAACGUCUGCUUUUGGACGACCUUUACGGAAUUCGUCUUUGAGCGAGCGUCGGCCACGAUUGAAUUCGUUGUACCAGUUUUUCACAGUGCUAUAGGAUGGUGCUUCAUAGCCAUACAAAGAUUUUAGUUCAUCGAUGCACUCUUGUCGUGAUAAUCCACGUCGAAAGUUGUGAAAAAUGAUCGCACGAAAAUGAUCACGAGUUAAUUCCAUUUUUUGGCCGAGAUGAAUUUUUUAAUUCCCUGUAAAUAAAACAAUUCACUAUUAAAUGACAAAACGUUCUGAGUGAUGUUAUGCUAAAAAAUGUCAAACUUUCCAAUGGAAAUGUCAGAUUGCACCUGGCAACACUUAGUGUAGUGCAGAAAUAUAUAUAGCAGCCUAUGUACAUUACUCGCCUCAUUAUUUAUAUCUCGAUUUUAAGUAAAUAGAUAACCAACUACCAUAUUUAUUUACCUAUGAUAUCACAAUCACGUAGUUUGCAAUGUGUUCACAUAAUUUUUUUUGUCACAUAAGUUUAUUUACUUUUUGGCACCACUGUGUGUGUACCUAUUUGUAGUAUAUGACUUUAACAUCGACAUUGUGUAAGGUGUUUUUGGGGGCAUGACAAUUAUAAAUACAUACCUACGUUAUAUAUACAUAUAUAUAUAUAUAAUAAGAAUAAGUGUCGCUCACUAUAUGAAUAGACAACUACAUAUGUAUGUAUACAUAAUGGGUGGUCCAAAAAAAAUUCUACCGCACAAUUAGGCAUUAGAAGCUAAUAUAUAUUUUAUUAUAUAUAAUACAUACACUCGUAUACAUUCACACAUACAUAUAUGUAUAUGCAUUCUCACAAAUCUUUUAGUAUGCUUUUCCGCUGUGAAUCGAUUUUUUUGGGAAGUCACGCAAAAGUACUUAUACAAAAGAAAUGCGACUUGUAUUUGGACUAUUUACAAAAUAAUAUUUUCUUAUUACAUAUGUAUCGGCAUUUGUAGGUACGCUAUAAGUUCUAAAAUUCGUGCUACUUUGUUUUACUGCGUCUGUUUUGCGGCAUAAUAAUUUGACAUUUCAAAAUAAAAAUACUCGUAAUCCGCCUGAUUUAUGAUAGUCCCUUUCACGCGGCUUUUCUUUAAGAAUAAUAAAUUAUAAUUACUUACUAUAUAUAGGGAAUAUACCAUAGACAUAUACAUACAUAGGUACAUAUGCAUUUACUGCUGUACUUCAUUGUAUUUUCACGGUGAAUUUUGGCACUUACCUGCUAAUUAUGACAGUAAUUUGUGCGAAGGGCUUUCGCCCUAUUGGCUUCUGUUGGCAUGUAUUGCAUAAUUUGCAUUAUUAAAAUGCUAUAAUUAGCGAUUCGAAGUACUUUUGUGCUUUCAUAAGGGGUAGUUGUAGCAAUAGUUGCAGUGUGUAUAACCAUAAGCUAGCAAGUAUCAAACUUUGGAGACUUUAGUGAAAUUACCAAAAUUCACAGCAGUAUUAAAAUUGCAUUUCAAUAGUUUGCAUUGAUUGAAGCUUAAAAAUAAAUGUACUUUUAAUUAUUAUUAAAUUUUUUUGAUUUAAUUAAUUAAUUGUCAUAACGUAAAAUUGUAAAUUUGUACACUUGCUUAAAAAAAUGGUUUUUGUAUUACAUACAAAAAUGAGUUUACGCAAUAACAUUUCUCAAGUUUUCGGUUCGUUAUAGCAUCUAACUGUAUGAGACUAUAUAAAACCCCUAAUUAUAUUAAUCUGAAAUCAGAAAUUACUUCUCUGCAUCUGGAUAACUUAUUAACAUAAAAUUCUCCAGAUUUCUUCUGUUCUCAAAAGAAUUCUUGCUGAGAAGAAAAUUUCGGCAAAUGAAGAGGUAAUCGCCGAAACUGCGGCCUAUUUUGUAAAAUCGUACUACAAAAACGGUAUGGAAAAGUUGGGGUGGUUCGGGGAAUAAAAAAAACAACGAAUUUUGCCAAAAAAUGCGUUCUAUUAUGGUAGCCCGGGGGCUUUUCAAUGAUUUCUUAGCAUAAUCUGUCGUCUGUUCUUUUCACCACUUUCUAAGUUUAUCCAUACCAAGACAGCUACUAUUACUAUAUUCUCUCUUAGAUUUUGAUCGUUCGCAGAAAAGCCAAAUGCUGAAUUCUCUGAUAAUUAUUAAUUCAGCUCAUUUUGACUGGUCUUAUGUUACUUCAAUAAAAAUGGAUCCAAAGUGUAUCCAAUAAAUAAUUACAUUUUCCCUUAUUGUAUUGUUAAAAUAACAUCUCGUUACCAGAAUUUUUUAUAUAUAGUACAUAUAUUAUUUUUUACUAACAGACAGUUCAAUAUACUUGGGUUAGUAGCAAAAGGAGCGCUAAAUAGCUACCGUAGCUUCAUAUCAAGAGUAAUUCAAAUAGAUAAUAUACAGUUUUGGACUUUUGCUUCUUUGUGAUGAAUUUGAAAGGAAAGGCAUUAGUUAUUGAAGUCAUUAUUGAAUUAAGAGGAGGAAGAAAAUAAUUGUAAAAUAUUUUUGGUAAAAACGGAGCGUAAUAAGGUUGACAAGUCUUUACUUUUCACUUACGAAAAGAGCUUUUUUCUAUUCUUUUUAGAGGCCAAUUUAAAAGAGAGGAGAGCUACGAAAAAUUUCUAAUGAAAUUCAAACAAGUUUUGUUUACAUAAUGCCACACUUUCAAGCUGACGUCGUAGUACGUGGAAUUUGUCAUCUCAGUUUAAUGCUUUGACGCAACCAACUUAAUGUACAAGAUAUCUGUUAAGUUCUUGUUUUGGUUAGAAUCAGAAUAUAUAAAUAUGCUUAAAUAUGCAAUUUAUUAUUAAAAAACCAAAUUAACCGUUUUGAUUAUUACCUUUAACUUUAUUUCUAUUAAUCAACUCAUAAUUAUUGGGUAUAUAAUAUAAUAAUAUAAUAUAUUAUUGUUGUUACACUUUGUUGUUUAUUUAUUUUACGUAGUCUAUAUUCGUAAGCAGUUGCUGCAUUUCCCAUGGCAUUUAUCCAUUAAGGUGAAGGUCUACGUGGCAGUCCACGUUAACACACCUGUCUUUUUAUGGCUUCCGUUAAUCUACAAGUAUUUGUAGCUUAUGGUGCUUAGCAUCUAGAUAUAAGCCUACAAAAGGUUGGUUCUAAAGCAACACAAUAAAACUCUUCAAUUAAUUAUCACUUUUUAUGAUUUCUUUCGGUACUCAAAAAACCUUUUAUUUCUUAAAUUUCAGAAUUGUAAAAAUUUUAUGAAAAUGUCGAAAUUUUCAGUAAGCAGAGGGGUUGAUUUACGUUUAUCUGAGUAAUAUUGCACACUUU